CCUACGGGAGGCUGCAGUGGGGAAUAUUGGACAAUGGGGGCAACCCUGAUCCAGCCAUGCUGCGUGUGUGAAGAAGGCCCUCGGGUUGUAAAGCACUUUCAGUGAGGAAGAACGCCUGGUGGUUAAUACCCAUCAGGAAAGACAUCACUCACAGAAGAAGCACCGGCUAACUCCGUGCCAGCAGCCGCGGUAAUACGGAGGGUGCGAGCGUUAAUCGGAAUUACUGGGCGUAAAGCGCGCGUAGGUGGCUUGAUAAGCCGGUUGUGAAAGCCCCGGGCUCAACCUGGGAACGGCAUCCGGAACUGUCAAGCUAGAGUGCAGGAGAGGAAGGUAGAAUUCCCGGUGUAGCGGUGAAAUGCGUAGAGAUCGGGAGGAAUACCAGUGGCGAAGGCGGCCUUCUGGACUGACACUGACACUGAGGUGCGAAAGCGUGGGUAGCAAACAGGAUUAGAUACCCCGGUAGUC
rnacentral:rRNA from 1 species